AUCCUACCCUAACCCUCACUAUGGCCUUGCCCAUCAGGGACAUACAACCAAUACAAUGCCUGUCUUUGCCAAGGUUGGUGCCCCUUCCUAGAAAGGAAUAGGCAUCUGGCUGAGGGAUGUGCUGAUCUGGAUAUGAAGCAAGAUCAGCACAAGACUUCUCACAAGUUUCCAGACAACAGCCCAGGCAGGAACCACACCCAGUGCCCAGGCUGGGAGAAGAAACUACCACACCCCCGAGGGGAACCUUGACCCCACCUUCUUCAGCUACUGUCUCUCCGUGGCUCAUAAAGAAUAUCUGAUCUAAAAUAGAGUCUGCUCUCAACCCAGAAAGCUUCGGCAGGAAGAUGAGGGAGAAGCGUCAUCUCAGAAGGCCCCUGAAGGCCUCACAGGAACAUGACUCAGGCCGUGACUGCACGCCAGCACUUCGGGAGGCCCACAGCUUGCUGACUCAGGCUCUCUCCACCCAGGCUCUAAUUUCCAGGGCCUCGAGGAAGAGUUCCCGAGGGAGACAAUGCUCCUCACAGGAAGUCGGACAAGCAAGGAAGCAGAGCCUUCGCCCCUCCAGCUGACUGAGAAGGCUGAGCAUGGCUUGGCCUGCGUUCCCAUUAGCAAACAAGGACACAGGGGCUUCCCUGAAACACAUCAUCAUCCCAGAGCAGAGACAAAGGACUGCCCCGGAUAGAGAGGAGACCUUCUAGGUCCAUAGACAAAUGGCUGUUUAUAAAGGUAAAAGGGGAAACCCUGUGUUAGGAUGAGGUGUUUAAUUUUAAUUGGACAUGUUACUUAGGUAAAUUAAAGAGGACUUUUGAUCGCU